rnacentral:rRNA from 1 species
GACGAACGCUGGCGGCGUGCUUAACACAUGCAAGUCGAACGGAAAGGCCCUGCUUUUGUGGGGUGCUCGAGUGGCGAACGGGUGAGUAACACGCGAGUAACCUGCCCUUGACUUUGGGAUAACUUCAGGAAACUGGGGCUAAUACCGGAUAGGAGCUCCUGCUGCAUGGUGGGGGUUGGAAAGUUUCGGCGGUUGGGGAUGGACUCGCGGCUUAUCAGCUUGUUGGUGGGGUAGUGGCUUACCAAGGCUUUGACGGGUAGCCGGCCUGAGAGGGUGACCGGCGACAUUGGGACUAAGAUACGGCCCAGACUCCUACGGGAGGCAGCAGUGGGGAAUAUUGCACAAUGGGCGGAAGCCUGAUGCAGCAACGCCGCGUGCGGGAUGACGGCCUUCGGGUUGUAAACCGCUUUCGCCGGUGACGAAGCGUGAGUGACGGUAAUGGGUAAAGAAGCACCGGCUAACUACGUG